UACGAAGGGGGCUAGCGUUGCUCGGAAUCACUGGGCGUAAAGCGCACGUAGGCGGCUUUCUAAGUCAGGGGUGAAAUCCUGGAGCUCAACUCCAGAACUGCCUUUGAUACUGAAAAUCUUGAGUUCGGGAGAGGUGAGUGGAACUGCGAGUGUAGAGGUGAAAUUCGUAGAUAUUCGCAAGAACACCAGUGGCGAAGGCGGCUCACUGGCCCGAUACUGACGCUGAGGCACGAAAGCGUGGGGAGCAAACAGG
rnacentral:rRNA from 1 species